UACAGCCACAUCAUGUUGAAACACUGGUUCCUGUAUGAUCACCAGGGUUAAGCAACAUUGAGCCUGGUUAGUACCUAUAUAGGUGAGCUCUUGGGAAUAUCAGGUUUUGUAA